rnacentral:rRNA from 1 species
GAUGAACGCUGACAGAAUGCUUAACACAUGCAAGUCAUUGGCGAAGCUGCGCUUGCGCAGUCUAGCCAAGGCGGACGGGUGAGUAACGCGUAAGGAACUUGCCCUGCAGACAGGGAUAACAGACGGAAACGACUGAUAACACCUGGUAUUGUCAGGCUGGCGCAUGCCGGCCUGAUGAAAGGAGACGCUGCAGGAGAGCCUUGCGUCCUAUUAGCUAGUUGGUGGGGUAACGGCCCACCAAGGCGAUGAUAGGUAGCCGGCCUGAGAGGGUGAACGGCCACAAGGGGACUGAGAUACGGCCCUUACUCCUACGGGAGGCAGCAGUGGGGAAUAUUGGACAAUGGGGGCAACCCUGAUCCAGCAAUUCUGUGUGCACGAAGAAGGUUUUCGGAGUGUAAAGUGCUUUCAGCAGGGAAGAAGAAAGUGACGGUACCUGCAGAAGAAGCGACGGCUAAAUACGUG